AACGAACGCUGGCGGCGCGCCUAAUACAUGCAAGUCGAACGAGAAGCUGUAGCAAUACAGUUGUACAGUGGCGAACGGGUGAGGAAUACAUGGGUGACCUACCCUCGAGUGGGGAAUAACCAGCCGAAAGGUUGGCUAAUACCGCGUACGCUUCCCAGUCUACGGGUUGGGAAGGAAAGCGAUGCCGUGGGUAUCGCGCUCAAGGUUGGGCUCAUGUCCUAUCAGCUUGNGGUGGGGUAACGGCUCACCAAGGCAACGACGGGUAGCUGGUCUGAGAGGACGAUCAGCCACACUGGCACUGCGACACGGGCCAGACUCCUACGGGAGGCAGCAGUAAGGAAUAUUGCGCAAUGGGCGAAAGCCUGACGCAGCGACGCCGCGUGGGGGAGUGAA
rnacentral:rRNA from 1 species